rnacentral:rRNA from 1 species
UACGGAGGGUGCAAGCGUUAAUCGGAAUUACUGGGCGUAAAGCGUGCGCAGGCGGUUCGUUAAGUCCGUUGUGAAAGCCCCGAGCUCAACUUGGGAAUUGCAGUGGAUACUGGCAGGCUGGAGUACGGUAGAGGAAGGUGGAAUUCCCGGUGUAGCAGUGAAAUGCGUAGAUAUCGGGAGGAACACCAGUGGCGAAGGCGGCCUUCUGGACCAGUACUGACGCUCAUGCACGAAAGCGUGGGGAGCAAACAGG